UAAAAUAAAAUAUAAAAACAAAAACAUCUUAGUAUAUAGGUUUUGUGUAUACUAAGAACCUUGAUAUGAGCCCAUAUUCUAUCCUUGUACAUACUAGGUACAAGCCUCCAAUCUUUAUGAUUCAGUGGCGCUAAGAUGCCAUUUCGUGCUAGCACACCAAGUUUUGAACUCAAUCUAGUUCCUUCUGACCCAAUGACCUGACCAUGUUCAUUCAAUUCAAUAUGUAAAUUUCCACCAUCUUUCCCCCAUCCCGAGUGCAUCAUAGUGGGACCCCUAGUUCGCUUAGAUUGCUCUUCACUCUCAUUAGAAU
rnacentral:lncRNA from 1 species